rnacentral:rRNA from 1 species
GUGCGAGACCGAUAGCGAACAAGUACCGUGAGGGAAAGAUGAAAAGAACUUUGAAAAGAGAGUUAAAGAGUACCUGAAACUGCUGAAAGGGAAUCGAAUCGUUUCCAGUGUCUAUAAUCCGUGGCAUAUUUCAUUGGCGAGUGGGUGCGUGCAGCGUUUUGGAAGUGGUUUUCCUCUCCAUACGUUGUUGUGCGUUUGCUUGCUGGUGCCCUGUGUCGCGGUGGGACGUCUGAGUCAGUUUGAAUGCUGCGGGAAAUGGCUGCUAGGGAGGUAGGUCACUUGUGGCUGUUAUAUCCUGGUGUGCUAGUCGUCGUGGUUGAGACUGAGGUGCCUACAACGUGCUUUUGAGUCUGCGGGACUCUCGUUCGGUUGUUUGCUUUGACAGCUUGCUGUGUUGGUAGACAUAUUGGGCGAUUGAGAUCUGUAGUAACUUGUUGCUGUUCGGGACUUUGAA